AAGUUAACGUACUCCAGCUGGCUUAUACAUGAGAAUCACAGUUUGUGAAUGGUUUUUUAAUAGAUAGUACAAAUGAAGCUAAGGGAUUCUGCUAGUCAUGACCUGUCAUUGCAAAGAGGCAUCCUUCUUCAACAGUCUUUCUUACAAAAUCAUGAAAAAGGCUGGAAGGACCUUCAGAAGUAACCUCAUCCAUUCAAUUACAGAUAAUAUGAUUUCUGGGACUUUUCUUCUACCUGCAAACAAGCAUCUAUCAGGUCAACAAGCUACAGUGAAUAUAUUAAUAAAACAGUCAUUAUAUUCUGUCUCAUCAAGGAAAAUACUUCAGCUAUUUUGAAGAUAACUGUUUAGCGUCUUCAGAAUUGUGAACACCACAAUUCGAUCUGUUUAGAGUGGUGUGGUUAAAAUGCCUAAUUCUUACCAGAUGCAAAUAAAUCAGGUUCAAGCAAGUUUUAGGUCAGUCAAUGAGUUAUAUUACAUCCUCCGAGGCCUGGAAAUGUAUGGAGGAGGAAAAGAACUCUGGCUGCACUCCACUGUUUUCAAAACGUUCUUUGUAUUUUAUGUUGUAAUAAAAUGUAAAAUUUGUCAGAGGAAAUUAAAAGAACGAAGGAGCAAUUUCCCAGACAUAUCUCCUGUAGAGACAUGCUGUGCUGUUAUUCUUUAUUUCAAAAGGAACAACAAGGUAAGCAUCUGUUUUAUUCUGCAGAAGAGAAGCUUCGCAUUUUAGAUCUGUGCGCAGAAGCAGCUGUAAUAUGUUAUGAAAUCCAUAAGCAAGGGGUUGAAGUGCUAUCUGAAGUGCUUUUUCAACCAAGUUCAAGUGCUCUGUUAUUUUGUUGCUGCACUCAGACAUCUAUCUUAUGCUUCCUACUUGAAAAGCUUUUGGCAUGUAUUGCUUUGAAUAUUUUUAUUUAACUCUCCAUUAGGAACCUAACUUUGCUUAGGAAUCUAAUUUCAUGUGGUUUGUUUUCAAUUUAUUCAACACAAAUUACAUUCUAUUGAUGUGAAACCCAAUUCACAUAAUCUGUAUGUUAGGGAACAAUAAAAUAAGAUGGAUGUGCUGUACUUUGUGUCCACCAUUGUUUCUGAAUAUCAACUUUGCAAUGCUUUUUCUAUCUACUAUAGUAAUAAGAAAACCAAGGAGAGUAAUUACAGAUUCUGAACUACUCCAUUGUCAAGCAUCCAUGGUCAUUAAAACAAUAUCAUCUUUGGAGCACAAACAAUAUUUAUGUCAUAUUUAACUAUUUAAUUUUACAUUAAUUUAUACAGCAAAAACUUAAUACUCAUUUCUGGUUUAUCUUUUGUUUGUGUCUUAAUUUAUAAAUUGCAGCACAGUUCCCUAUGUAGGGCCCUCGCUUUGGUAUGGAACCUCUGAGAGUUUAAAUACAUAAAUAAAUGCAUUUUC